AUUGCGCCACUGCAUUCCAUCCUGGGUCACAGGAUGAGAGUCCAUCUCAAAAAAGAAAAAAAAAAAGAGGACUUUCCCCCUUUGCCUUUGAGCUAAGCUGCUGAGCCAAGCCAGGAAGACAAAGAUGUUCCCUUAUUUUUAGGGAGCAGGAAAAUCAGGAUUCUGUUCAGCUGUGGCUCUAGUGUCUAGCUAGGGGGCAUUUUAAAUUAACCCAUGAGUUCUCAUGUCAUAAGAUCACAGGGUAUUUGUUGAAUAAAUAAAUGCAUGCAACUGAAGAGCUCAAUGGAUAAGUUCUGUACUUCAAGAAUUUCUGGUUUCUCCAUCAAGACAAUCUUAGAUUAUUUGGGCAUAAAUAAUCUAAGGCCUGGGAAGCAGGCCCUGCUUUAUGGAUAUGUGACUUAGACAGGCCAUGGUUUAAGGCUCUGCUGUUAUUUUGAAAUUUUUAAUUUGAACAAGGGGAUUUCAAGAUUUCAUUUUGCUCGAAUUAUGUGCAGACCCACACAUUAUGUAGCCAGUCCUACAGGGAAGCCACAUGUGUGCAGGCUUGUAUGAAAUCCUCUUACUGGUGACAGUGAACAUGGUAAAGAUGACAGAUGACCUUGAGACAGUCUGCCUUCUGGCAGUGCACUAGAAUAUUCUCAUAAGUCGAUAUUUUCAUAAAACAGCUUCUGAGCCAGUGUUGCACAGCAGUUAAGAGGGUGUGUUUUAUACGCAGAAAGACCUAGGCAAAUAUUCCUGUUCCACCACUCAUUAGCUGUGUGACUUCGGGGAAUUUACUCAGUUUCUUUAUCUGUUAAAUAAGGACAAUAUCACCCACCUGAUAGGGCUUUAGAAAGGAUGAAAGCAGGAUGUAUGUGAAGCGCUUGGCAUAGUGCCUGGGACAUAGAAGACACUGUAAUGGUGACUGUCAUUGUUCUUCUUGGAAUAGCAUUACUGUGUUACUUUUAGUCUGUUGAACUUAGAAGGGGUUAUCCCUCAGUCUCUUGAGUUUGCAAAUUAGGCUGCUAACACUUGGUGCAUACCCACAGGUAUGUUUGCUAAUUCUUUCCCGUAGAGCCACAGGUGAUAAGAUUAGAAAGUAGGCCCUGGGCUUCUUUGAUCAAGUGAGUGCUGUGUUUGCACUAACGAAGGGCUGUUUGAAGAUUUUUCUCUUAGGUGCUUUUAAUCCAUAACUGUUUUUACUGACAACGCUUCUGACUCCAAAUGCAUGGUGUCUUUCCCGACACCAGGAGUGUCCUACAAGUCAGUUCAAUUCUGAUGUUAUCCAUGUGGACUAUGGCUAUCCCAUAGGUCCAGGGCUCCGUCCCACAAGGCUGCCUUCACUUCAGGUGUCAGUCACAAGUCCCAGAUUGUCACUCGUACUCCUGACUGACAGGCUGUAAAUUCAGGGGAUUUCCACAACACCCUCCUCAAGUUCAGUAAUUCCCUAGAACAGCUUACAGAACACAGGGAAACAUUUUACUGAUAUUUACCGGUUUAUUAUAAAGGAUGCAAUUCAGAAACAGCUAAGUGAAAGAGAUGCCAUAGGCAAGGUAUCGGGGAAGGGCUCGGAGCUUCUGUGCCUCUAUAGGUGGGUCACCCUCCCAGUACCUCGAUGUGCUCACCAACCCGAAGUUUCUCAGACUGCAUUGUUUAGGGGUUUUUAUGGAGGGAUCAUUACGUAGGUAUGAUUGAUUAAAUCAUUGGCCAUUGGUGACUAAUGCGACCUGUGGGUGGCACUGAAAGUUCUCAGUCUUUCUGGUGAGCAGCCCCCAUGCUGAAGCUAUCAGCCACUGGUCAUCUCAUUCACACACAAAAGUCACCCAAAGGUUUUAGCCAUGUGCCAGGAACUUGGGACAAAGACCAAAUGUUUAUUUUUUAUUAUAUCACAACCCUAUAAUAUCAAAGUCACCCCAAGCAAGGAGUACCUGACUUUCCACUCAUUCAUUCAUUCAUUCAUUCACAAACUUUCUAAAAAUAUAACUGAUUGUUUCAGUUGAUGUUGGGUGGGGGACAGGAAGUAAACGAGGUUUCAAGCCUAGGUCAGGCAGCCACCAGGCAGGGGCAUCAUAAAGGGCCCUGAGCCCUGGAAGGAGGAGGUGGAGGGGGUGGACUGGAUGACUGUUGCUUCCUUUAACACUGAGGGCCUACCCCCACCAAUAUCAACAGUUGGUGCUUUAAGAUUUCCAACCCCUUAAAGCAUCUUGAAGGUCAAGAUGAGUUUGACUGAGAAAUAUGUGACAGAAUGUUGCAAUUAGCAGGUGAGUAGGUAUGUGGAUAAAAGGAAUGUAUGUGGUAUAGAAAAAAUGCUCAUCUCCCAAAUAAAACAUUAAAAAAAUAGCAUGCAGCUAGGACUUGUAAACCAAAAUUAAAAUUCUGAGCUCCCCAAGCCACUGAAUGGACCCCUCCUCUCAAUCAAAAGCAUUCUAAAGCUAACCUGAAAUACUAGUUCAGGCCAUGAUGGGGAUGGGUGGUUGGACAGUCCUCAUAGCCUCCUUCCUUUGGAAUUCAGGCACAGGUGACCAGCAUUAACACAGAGACCUUAAGACUGACAGAAGAGACUCCUUGUAGCAAUAAGAUAUCUACAUGAUAGAUAACAGAUCCCGAAAGACAUCAAGGUAUCUUACCCACAAAUAUAUAUUUUAACAUUUUGAAAUGCCCUGCGAAGGCUGUCUCUUGUGGGGAAAAUCUACAUGUUGUAGAGAAUCCUGUUCCCUUUCCAGGCCUUUUUUUCCUGCUCCAAGAGAGAAUUAACUAAGAGUCUGGCACAUUUUGAAGUCUGGUAAGAAACACUUAUAGUCUAUUCUCUCUGAAGCCUGCUACCUGUAGACUUAAUCUGCAAAAUAAGAAUCUUGGUCCCCACAAUCCCUUAUCUUAACCCAGAUACUCCCUUCUAUUGACUCCAGGUUUUUAAAUAAACUCUUUCAACCAAUCACCAAUCGGAAAAUCCUUGAAUCUACCUAUCACACCUCCGUGCUUCCAGUUGUCCUGUCUUUUGGAACCAAACCAAUGUGCAGCUUACAUGUAUUGAUUGAUGUUUUAUGUCUCCCCAAAAUGUAUAAAAUGUAUAAACAAACCAAGCCAUAGCCCGACCCCCUUGGGCACAUAUUCUCAGGAUCUCCUGGGGUUGUGUCACAGGCCAUAGUCACUCAUAUUUGGCUCAGAAUAAAUCUUUUCAAAUAUUUUACAGAGUUUGACUCUUUCCACCAGCAAGCACUAAAAGACUUCUAUUUGAUUAUUUUUCAGGAAACAAGUAGUUAGACUUAAAAAAAAAGUUAUCUCUCUAUAAAUUGUCAUGGGAUCCAUUUGUCAUGGAUAUACCUAUAGUAUGUGUGGUUGGAGCAAGCCAUGUUAAGGCACCAUUGUGUAAGGGUGGAGAGUUUAUCCAUAACAUAUUUAUCCAUCCUAGAUGAAAUCUAUACUAAUUAGACAGAAGCAUGAUCUUCAAAA